rnacentral:rRNA from 1 species
AUGCUAAUGUGUAUAUAUAUGUGUACAAUAACGGAUCCAGCUACAAGGGCCCGGGAUGCCAAGAACGCACGGAGAAGAGCAGCUUAUAAAAAGAAAAAAGAAGACGAAGGGUAUCAAGAACAAAUUGGUAAGUUGAACACACGCAGACGGGAAUCUUACCAGAAGAAGAAACAACAGGACACAAGAGAACAAAGAGAAAAUAUAAAUGCACAGAGGCGAGCAGCUUAUCAGAAGAAGACACAAGACGACACAAGCACUGGUCAUGUCUUACCACAACAGCAAAGGGAUAUUAUAAAUGCAAAGAGGCGAGCCACUUACAAGGAGAAGAAGGAACAAAUAAACACGCAAAGACGUGAGACAGAUCAGAAACAUUGA